AACAACUCCUUAGAUGUAGUAAACACUUACUUAACUAACUUCAAAAUGGAAUCUGAAUUGAGAAGAUGUUAUUUAGUUAAAGUGUUGGAUGGAUUAGAAAAACUUGAAACAUUAUUGGUGAAACGUAAUAAUACGAUACAUUUACAAGAUAUGGAGAUGAACAGCAUAAAAAAGGAAAUUGAAUUGUUAACCGAGAGAAUAAAUAAAGCUAAGGAAGAUUUUGAUGACAAAAACAAGAGAC
rnacentral:lncRNA from 1 species